rnacentral:rRNA from 1 species
CCUACGGGAGGCAGCAGUGGGGAAUAUUGGACAAUGGGGGCAACCCUGAUCCAGCCAUGCCGCGUGUGUGAAGAAGGCCCUCGGGUUGUAAAGCACUUUCAGUGAGGAAGAACGCCUGGUGGUGAAUACCCAUCAGGAAAGACAUCACUCACAGAAGAAGCACCGGCUAACUCCGUGCCAGCAGCCGCGGUAAUACGGAGGGUGCGAGCGUUAAUCGGAAUUACUGGGCGUAAAGCGCGCGUAGGUGGCUUGAUAAGCCGGUUGUGAAAGCCCCGGGCUCAACCUGGGAACGGCAUCCGGAACUGUCAAGCUAGAGUGCAGGAGAGGAAGGUAGAAUUCCCGGUGUAGCGGUGAAAUGCGUAGAGAUCGGGAGGAAUACCAGUGGCGAAGGCGGCCUUCUGGACUGACACUGACACUGAGGUGCGAAAGCGUGGGUAGCAAACAGGAUUAGAUACCCUUGUAGUC